rfam:Stegodyphus mimosarum contig14602, whole genome shotgun sequence.
GCCUUCGUGGUGUAGUGGUUAACACGCUUUACGCGUAACUGUGAGGUCCGUGGUUCGAUUCCCGACGAAGGCG